GACGAACGCUGGCGGCGUGCCUAAUACAUGCAAGUUGAGCGAUGAAGAUUGGUGCUUGCACCAAUUUGAAGAGCAGCGAACGGGUGAGUAACGCGUGGGGAAUCUGCCUUUGAGCGGGGGACAACAUUUGGAAACGAAUGCUAAUACCGCAUAACAACUUUAAACAUAAGUUUUAAGUUUGAAAGAUGCAAUUGCAUCACUCAAAGAUGAUCCCGCGUUGUAUUAGCUAGUUGGUGAGGUAAAGGCCCACCAAGGCGAUGAUACAUAGCCGACCUGAGAGGGUGAUCGGCCACAUUGGGACUGAGACACGGCCCAAACUCCUACGGGAGGCAGCAGUAGGGAAUCUUCGGCAAUGGACGAAAGUCUGACCGAGCAACGCCGCGUGAGUGAAGAAGGUUUUCGGAUCGUAAAACUCUGUUGGUAGAGAAGAACGUUGGUGAGAGUGGAAAGCUCAUCAAGUGACGGUAACUACACAGAAAGGGACGGCUAACUACGUG
rnacentral:rRNA from 1 species